rnacentral:rRNA from 1 species
UACGGGGGGAGCAAGCGUUGUUCGGAUUUACUGGGCGUAAAGGGCGCGUAGGCGGUCAGCACAAGUCAGUUGUGAAAUCUCCGGGCUUAACUCGGAAAGGUCAACUGAUACUGUGCGACUAGAGUGCAGAAGGGGCAACUGGAAUUCUCGGUGUAGCGGUGAAAUGCGCAGAUAUCAGGAGGAACACCGAUGGCGAAGGCAGCUCGCUGGGACGGUACUGACGCUGAGGCGCGAAAGCGUGGGGAGCAAACAGG